rnacentral:siRNA from 1 species
AGAAUGUGCUCUUAGAAGAUGCCU